GAUGAACGCUGGCGGCGUGCCUAAUACAUGCAAGUCGAGCGAACGGACGAGAAGCUUGCUUCUCUGAUGUUAGCGGCGGACGGGUGAGUAACACGUGGAUAACCUACCUAUAAGACUGGGAUAACUUCGGGAAACCGGAGCUAAUACCGGAUAAUAUUUUGAACCGCAUGGUUCAAAAGUAAAAGACGGUCUUGCUGUCACUUAUAGAUGGAUCCGCGCUGCAUUAGCUAGUUGGUAAGGUAACGGCUUACCAAGGCGACGAUGCAUAGCCGACCUGAGAGGGUGAUCGGCCACACUGGAACUGAGACACGGUCCAGACUCCUACGGGAGGCAGCAGUAGGGAAUCUUCCGCAAUGGGCGAAAGCCUGACGGAGCAACGCCGCGUGAGUGAUGAAGGUCUUCGGAUCGUAAAACUCUGUUAUUAGGGAAGAACAUAUGUGUAAAUAACUGUGCACAUCUUGACGGUACCUAAUCAGAAAGCCACGGCUAACUACGUG
rnacentral:rRNA from 1 species